CCUACGGGAGGCAGCAGUAGGGAAUCUUCCACAAUGGGCGAAAGCCUGAUGGAGCAACGCCGCGUGGGUGAAGAAGGUCCUCGGAUCGUAAAACCCUGUUGUUAGAGAAGAAAGUGCGUGAGAGUAACUGCUCACGUUUCGACGGUAUCUAACCAGAAAGCCACGGCUAACUACGUGCCAGCCGCCGCGGUAAUACGUAGGUGGCAAGCGUUAUCCGGAUUUAUUGGGAGUAAAGGGAACGCAGGCGGUCUUUUAAGUCUGAUGUGAAAGCCUUCGGCUUAACCGGAGUAGUGCAUUGGAAACUGGGAGACUUGAGUGCAGAAGAGGAGAGUGGAACUCCAGGUGUAGCGGUGAAAUGCGUAGAGAUAUGGAAGAACACCAGGGGCGAAAGCGGCUCUCUGGUCUGUAACUGACGCUGAGGUUCGAAAGCGUGGGUAGCAAACAGGAUUAGAUACCCUGGUAGUC
rnacentral:rRNA from 1 species